CCACUGGAUGAUGAUGAACUAGUGGAAUACAUCCUCGCUGGCCUUGACGAGGAAUAUGACUCUGUUGUCAACACGGUUCUUGCACGAACCGGUCCGAUUAAUGUAAGUGAACUUGUUUCGUAGGUGCUAUCGUUCGAGA
rnacentral:snoRNA from 1 species